GCGCCGGUGGUGUAAUGGCGUAAAGCAUUUCCGCCCGGUCAGCAGAAGGUGCGUGUUCGAAUCCCGCCUGGUGCU
rfam:Heligmosomoides polygyrus genome assembly, scaffold: HPBE_scaffold0000279